rnacentral:rRNA from 1 species
AACGCGAAGAACCUUACCUACCCUUGACAUGCCAGGAAGUCUGCUGAGAGGUGGACGUGCCCGAAAGGGAGCCUGGACACAGGUGCUGCAUGGCUGUCGUCAGCUCGUGUCGUGAGAUGUUGGGUUAAGUCCCGCAACGAGCGCAACCCUUGUCACUAGUUGCUACGGUAACGGGCACUCUAGUGAGACUGCCGGUGACAAACCGGAGGAAGGUGGGGAUGACGUCAAGUCCUCAUGGCCCUUAUGGGUAGGGCUUCACACGUCAUACAAUGGCGCAUACAGAGGGCUGCCAACCCGCGAGGGGGAGCCAAUCCCAGAAAGUGCGUCGUAGUCCGGAUUGCAGUCUGCAACUCGACUGCAUGAAGUCGGAAUCGCUAGUAAUCGCGGAUCAGCAAUGUCGCGGUGAAUACGUUCCCGGGUCUUGUACACACCG